GGGCCUGUAGCUCAUUUGGUAGAGCAUCUGCAUGGCAUGCAGGGGGUAAGGAGUUCAACUCUCCUCAGGUCCACCA
rnacentral:tRNA from 1 species